rnacentral:rRNA from 1 species
CCUACGGGAGGCAGCAGUGGGGAAUAUUGCACAAUGGGGGAAACCCUGAUGCAGCGACGCCGCGUGAGUGAAGAAGUAAUUCGUUAUUUAAAGCUCUAUCAGCAGGGAAGAAAAUGACGGUACCUGAGUAAGAAGCCCCGGCUAACUACGUGCCACCAGCCGCGGGAAUACGUAGGGGGCAAGCGUUAUACGGAUUUACUGGGUGUCAAAGGGAGCGUAGACGGCAGUGCAAGUCUGGAGUGAAAGGCGGGGGCUCAACCCCCGGACUGCUCUGGAAACUGUACGGCUGGAGUGCAGGAGAGGUAAGUGGAAUUCCUAGUGUAGCGGUGAAAUGCGUAGAUAUUAGGAGGAACACCAGUGGCGAAGGCGGCUUACUGGACUGUAACUGACGUUGAGGCUCGAAAGCGUGGGGAGCAAACAGGAUUAGAUACCCUAGUAGUC